AUGGUUUUGCGGACGUCGGCGCUGCUGCUGCUCCUCUGGGUAUCGCUGCACGGCGCGACGCGAGCUGCGGCGGAGGUCUGCCGGGGGACGCACUGCUCCGGCGCCGGCGCCGACGCCGCAGACCCGCGGCCGUGCGCCGGGGCGCACUGUCCGGGCGGCAGAUCCCCGAGACCCAGAGCCCCCACGCAGCGUGGAGCGGCGCAGGUAGUCGGCAGCCAGCACCACGCGCACCCGAGAGCACCGUCGGAAGCCUCCGCUGCCGCGCAGCCACCGCGCGCGCGGCACGGCGGCGGCGGCGGCGGCGGCGCACGAACCAGAGCGCCCGAAGCGGCGCCUGCGGGAGGAUGCACCGCGGCGGACUGUCCCGCUCCUGCGAAAGCGUUUCAGCCCACGAACGACACCCGAGACUGCAGAGGCAUCGAGUGCCGGCUGCCGCUGACGAUACGGCCAAGGGCUCGAACAAAGCCGUGUGUGGGAGACGGAUGUGUGGCCGCGUCAGAGGGGAGCGUCUCCUCCGCCGCCAGCCAGCUUCCUCCCGUGCAUCUGUCCGACAGAGCCGCGCAGUUCCUCGGAGACUUCCCGGAGUUAGGAUAUCCCCCGCCGGAACUUGGCGGUGCGCCUCUGGGCGUCCAGCUCACGUGUGACAUCAAGCCAGGCGAGAACGAGGUGCCCUCAGAGGACGCCCUCAUCCUGCACCUGCAGCUGGCCAAGGGGCAGGAGGAGCUGGUGGAGGCCCUGCGGGCGCAGCAGGCCGUCAUCCGCGAGCUGCAGCAGAAGCUGGCCGAGCAACAGGAGGCGCUGCUGUCGCAGCAGCGGCAGAUCCUGGAGCAGCAGCGGCGCAUGUACGAGCAGAUGGACCUGGUGAAGGCCCAGUACGGCCUGCUGUCGGACACCGUCAAGCAGGUGUCCUUCCAGGGCCUGCAGGCGGAGCUGCACGGCUACUUCGAGAGCCACCUGGCGGGCCUCCAGAACCAGGCGCGCAGCCACCUGCAGAAGGCCCACGGCGCCCAGAACCCGGAGGUGCUGGACGUCGCCGGGGAGGCCCGCUUCCCCCGCCCGCUGCCGGGGUGCCCGGCGCCGUGCGCGUCGGGGCGGUUCUGCGACUUCCAGAGGGAGGCGCCGCGGUGCGAGGACUGCACCACGUGCCCGCCGGGCUUCUUUCCGAUCUCGCAGUGCUCUCCUACGGCCGACAGGAUGUGCCAGGACAGGGACGAAUGCCUGGAAAGGCCCAACGUUUGCGGGGACCGAGGGAAGUGCCUCAACACGCCAGGAGGCUUCAGGUGCCUGGGGCUGUCGGAGAGGGAGGCGGCGACGGGCUCGUGCGGCCGCGGCUACUUCUACAACCGGGAGCUGCAGGAAUGCCAGGCGUGCUCGGACUGCGACGGGCAGCCGCUCGCCGCCCCCUGCUCGGCCGCCAGCGACGCGGUGUGCGGCCGGCCCGCGGAGGGCCGCCUGUCCCAGUCGUGGGCGGCCGGCGCCGCCGUGCCCUCCGCCGGCGCCCCCGGCCGCCACAUCUUCCCCGGGCUGCAGCUCAACAUCCGGGGGAAGGAGAGCAGCGACCUGCUGCGGAGCGAGGGGCGCCAGCUGACGUUCGCGCAGCACGGCCUGGUCUGGUUCGACCACAACUUCGCCAUCAGGCACAGCUGCAGGAACUUCCUCCAGGUCGGGAUGAGGCUCAACGGGAGCCAGGAGGAGGAGUGCCGGGACCUCGGCGGCGUGCGCAUCGAGCAGCCGGACGGGAGGUACUUCCAGGGGGUGAGCGUCAGCGGCGGCGCCGAGGUGGAGCCCGGCCACACCUUCGCUCUGCUGCUGAAGAGCCCCAACCAGCACUGCAACCAGAGCAGGGACCUGCACUUCUACGAGGCGGCCGCCCCCUCCCUGAGCCUCCUCUGGCUGUCCCACGACACCGGCGCCGUGGCUCUGAGCGCGCAGAUGUCGCUGGCGGCGCACCACCAGGGCAGCUACCGGCCCACGCUGCGCGUGGCCUCCGUGUCCGACCCCUACAUGCUGGGCCUGACCCACGACGGGCGCGCGGUGCGCUUCACGGAGGGCGGCGUGGUGAAGUUCGCCCUGCAGCAGGCGCUCUACUCCAUGGGCCACAGCUGCGUGCGCGAGGGCUUCUCCCUCGUCGCCUACGCCAGCCGCAACGGGAGCGCGCAGGAGGUGUUGCGGGCCUUCAAGGCCGGCGUCAACUACCGGGACACGUCCGUCACCCUGUCGGGGGCGCUGAGCGUGGACGGCGGGGACACGCUGAGCUUCGAGGUCACGUCUCCGUCCCAGUGCAACGUCCGCUACUUCGGGGACAGCACGGGGAUCAGCGCGCUGAGCCUGUUCUGGAUCCCGUCGGCCGUGUCCUCGGCCCUGACGGCCACCGUGUCCCGCGCGGGUCUUCCCUUCGGAGCGGUCAGGAAUAAGCCCCUGUUUUUCCAGCAGACUGGUCCGGACACGCCGCAGGUGCACCUGGCCCGCUCAGGUGAGCCCAACGGCCGCAAGAACUUCCUAUUCCGCCAGAAGGGGACCGUGAACAUAGCGCUCAGCCUGAAGCUGAUCCACUCCUGUAAUAUCAUCAAACUGACUGUUCAGCGAGCGGGGCCCGCGGGUCAGGCCGGCGCCGUGGCCCAGCAGGUGUCUGGGUCCAUGCCCGAAGGGAGCGAAUGGGCCAGUAUCGGGCUGAGGGCCUCCCUCCAGGUCCACAACGGCACCGCUCUCUAUGUCACGUUGGACUGCGUCCGCGGACGGGUCAACCAGAUAACGCACGAGGGCGGCACCAACGUUUCCAUCCUCUGGGUCGCAGUGUGACCCGGAACCAGACGGAGCCUCUAAAAAACGGUUUGCACAACAUUGAAUUGCAGAGCAGAUUCAACAGUUUUGAAACAUAAGUAUAUGAUAUUAAUCUAUGUCUUAUAUUUGUUCAGAUAAUUGUUUCAAUGUCAUUUUGAUUUUUUAAUAAUGAACUGAAAGUACGGCUUCUGCUUGAAGUACUUCGGCUGGUUGAGCAGUGACCAACUCUCCACUGUGUGUGUGUGUGUGUGUGUGUGUGUGUGUCUGCAUUUAAAGUCUAAGAAUAUUCUUCUAUCUUUGCUUUUAUUUAAAUACUCUGUAUUAAAACGUUUUAUAUUAAAUCAUUAGGCAUUAAAGUAACAGAAAUAUUGAAUCAGGUUAGUGUUGAUGAGACUGGAAACUGGAGCUGAGUGGUGAAACCUUCAUAACCUGAUAGAGUAGAGUUCAGUCCACCUUUUCAGUAGAUUCGGCGAGUGGUUAGAAGAUAUUUUAAAUAAUGUGUGUCAUAUCAUAUGACUUGUUUCAAACACUGACCCUGUACUGAGUCUACUGUGGGGACCAGUCUGCACCAGUCUGACCUUUCUGCCAAACCAGUGUGCUUGGCUCACAACAGGUGUGAGUUCCUAGUUUUGCCAUACUCCUGUUUGAAAUGAGCCCAUUGUCUCCAUUUCUGUGUGCGUUUCCCUCAUAUGUUUUUUCAAAUAUGCACAUUUUCUACAAACCUUUCCUCCUGAUGCUCUGAUUACUUUGUUAUGACAGCAUUUACACUAAUGUAAGUAGAAAACCAGCAGGAGAAGCAUUUUUUGUACUUGACAGUUUUGUAUUAAUUUGUCUUGAUGCUAAUUAAAGUCUAUAUUUACACUAAAAGCACAUAUAAAACAAACAAUGUUGAGUAUGAAGCACUAAGUGAGCCGUAAUGAUCCUCCAUGAGUAAACUAUACUCCACAGUUUACUGCAUAGUAGUGUGAAUAUACAAACAUUAUACCUUCUUACUUUUUUGUUUAACUCUUUCCCUUUGCAGAGCUUGUGUCUAGAUUUCCUGCCUGUGCUGUUUAUAGAAUCAAAUUUAGGGAGUUUGCAGAGAGAGAGAAAUUCUUUAACCAGUUUCUUCUUUCAUUCGUCUUGUACCAUAGCAGUGCAUGUGUUCAUGUCCAGCGGCAAAUAAAGUGCAUAAAUAUGAAGCCA
ensembl:lncRNA uncharacterized LOC114854687